rnacentral:rRNA from 1 species
GACGAACGCUCGCGGCGUGCUUAACACAUGCAAGUCGAACGGAAAGGCCCUGCUUUUGUGGGGUGCUCGAGUGGCGAACGGGUGAGUAACACGUGAGUAACCUGCCCUUGACUUUGGGAUAACUUCAGGAAACUGGGGCUAAUACCGGAUAGGAUCUCCUGCUGCAUGGUGGGGGUUGGAAAGUUUCGGCGGUUGGGGAUGGACUCGCGGCUUAUCAGCUUGUUGGUGGGGUAGUGGCUUACCAAGGCUUUGACGGGUAGCCGGCCUGAGAGGGUGACCGGCCACAUUGGGACUGAGAUACGGCCCAGACUCCUACGGGAGGCAGCAGUGGGGAAUAUUGCACAAUGGGCGGAAGCCUGAUGCAGCAACGCCGCGUGCGGGAUGACGGCCUUCGGGUUGUAAACCGCUUUCGCCUGUGACGAAGCGUGAGUGACGGUAAUGGGUAAAGAAGCACCGGCUAACUACGUG